rnacentral:rRNA from 1 species
AAGGAUUAUGGGUGAGCACGCUUCUGAUUAGGUAGUUGGUGAGGUAACGGCUCACCAAGCCGACGAUCAGUAGGGGUUCUGAGAGGAAGGUCCCCCACAUUGGAACUGAGACACGGUCCAAACUCCUACGGGAGGCAGCAGUGAGGAAUAUUGGUCAAUGGACGCAAGUCUGAACCAGCCAAGUCGCGUGAAGGAUGAAGGUUCUAUGGAUUGUAAACUUCUUUUAGAAGAGGGUAAAACAGCGGACGUGUCCGC